AAAUCUUCAUUUCUUUCUUCCUUUUGUCUUUCUUUUAGAGCAUUUUGUAAGAGAGUUGGUGUUGGAAAAUACUUGUGUGAAUCCUUUCUUGGUUUGUAAGUUUACUCUUUUGGGAUAUUUUUGAGUUAUUUAGAGUAUAUUUACUACAAUUUUGUGCUCUUUAUUGUACUUUUCUUGUUGGUAUAUAGUGAAAUUGCUCCUUUCUACUUGUGAAUAUACAUCACACUAAUCGAACUACGUCAAAUCUGUGUCUUCUUUAAUUUCAUUAAUUGUCGUUAUUAUUAUCUUGUUAUUGUCUUUGUUAUUAUCAUUAUGCUUGUGUUUGGCUAAAUUUCAACAAUAACCCGAUUCUAGAUCUUAACAAAUUGGUAUUAGAGUUAGAUAAAACCGGGUUACUUCAUUAGCCAAAAUGACAAUAGCAAAGACUUAUGUUGAGAAAUUUGACAAAAGUGCAUACUUCGAGAUGUGAAAAUUAAAGAUGGAAGUUAUCCUAAUUUAGAAUGGCUCAGAUGUGGCGUUUGAACGAAAAGAGAUGACACCAGAAAAUAUGACGAACUAAGAGUUUGCCAUCAUAGACAAAAAGGAAAAAUCAGGUAUCAUUUUAAAUAUCUCAAAUAAGGUUUUACGUGAAGUAUCUUCAGAAACCACUGCCAAAAGCAUGUGGAAAAAAUUAAAGACCCGAUAUAUGAAAAGUUCAGUGAAAAAUAGUCUUUACUUAAUGAAAAAGCUUUAUAUGUUUCGUAUGGUUGAAGGUAUAUCUAUAAUCCCACAUCUUGAUGCAUUUGAUUCUAUUCUUAUGGAUUUGAGUAAUGUAGACGCUGAAGUUAAUGAUGAAGAUCAAGCAUCUUAUAACUUAUUUCCUCCCCUCCCCCCCCCCCCCCCCCCCCAUCAUUUAAGCAUAUUAGAGAUACUAUGCUUUACGAAAAGGAUAAUAUCUUUUACACGGAAAUCAAAUCUAUAUUGAAAUAGAAAAAAUGGAUAAAUAGAGAUAUUACUGUGGAAAGUAGUGGACCCAUAGAGAAGGAUUGUUUGUAAGAGGUAGAUCUAAUAAGAAAGAAUCAAAUAGCGAGAGGUCAAAAUAAAUGUCAAAGUUCAGAAAUAUGAAUGUAGUUUGCAAAUACUUUCAUAAAAAAUGCUAAAUUAUUUUUGAAUGUUAUAAGUUGAAAACCAAAGAAAAGCAUAAGGAAAAAAAAAUGAGCACCAGAACAAUAAUCAUGCUGAAGCUAGUGUAGCUGUUGAUGAGUCUGAGGGAACUAUAUUUUUAGCGGCUAGUAAUAGGUUUAAGUCUAUCGAUUAAUAUAUUUUGAAUUUGGGUUGUUCUUAUCAUAUGUGUCCCAAUAGGGAUUUGUUUACCAUAUUUGAAUCUCUUGGAGAUUGAGUUAUCUUGAUGAGCAAAACUGCUCCCCGUAAAUUUUUUAGUAAAGGUACAGUCCAAAUAAGAAUGCACGAUUGUGAGGUGAAAACUCUCAUAGAUAUUAGAUGUGCUCCUAACUUUAAGAUAAAUUUUAUCUCAUUGGGCACUCUAGAAUCUCUUAGUUACAAAUACAUAGGUGAAGGUGGAGUUCUGAAGAUAUCACUAGGUAAUCUUCUGAUCAUGAAAGCACACAGAUUUGGUAUGUUGUACACUUUAUUGGGAUCCACUGUUAUAGGUGUUUCUACAGUUUCCACUUCAAAUUAAUCUUAUCAUGAUAUCACCAAAUUGUGUCAUAUGCGAUAUAUGAGUGAAAAAGGUCAUUCUAUCCUCAACAAAAGAGGUCUUCUAUAUGGACAAAGUAUUGGAAACAUGGAGCUUUUUGAAAAUCGUGUAUUCAGAAUAAAGAAAAAUUUUAGUUUUAAAUCUCCAGCAAUUCAUCAAACAAAAGGUACUUUCAACUACAUUUAUUCAGAUCUUAGGAGUCCUUACCAUAUAAAAAGGUGGUGUCAGAAUUAUGUUAACUUUCAUUGAUGAUUACUCAAAUAAAGUUUUGUUUUAUGACCUAAAAAAUAAAACUGAUUCUUUCCUAACUUAAAAACAACGGAAAGUUUUGAUUGAGAAGCAAACAAGAAAAUAUUUCAAGCGUCUUAGAAUAGAUAAUGGCUUGAUAUUUUGUAAUGAUGAGUUCAACAAAUUUUUUAAAAUAAAGGAAUAGCUCGAUAUCGCACUAUGAGGAUGACCCCUUAGCAAAAUGGCGUUACAAAAUGGAUGAAACAAACUCUUUUGGAAAGCACUCAUUACAUGAUUUCAAAUGUUACAUUGAAAAAUACUUUUUGGGCAGGGGCUAUUUCUACAGGUUGUUAUAUUGUCAAUCGUUCUCCUUCUACGCCUUUGAACUUUAAGACGUCCAAGGAAAUAUCAUCAGGUACUCCUGCUAAUUAUUCUGAUUUAAAAAAAAAUUAUUAUCCUGCAUAUAUGAAUGUGAAUGAUGGAAAAUUAAAUCCAAGGGCUAAAAAGUGUAUUUUCCUUGGAUAUGCAUCUGGGGUGAAAGGAUACAGACUCAGGUGACCAGAUCCCAAGGCACCAAAAUUUAUAAUUAGCAUAGAUGUAAUAUUUAAUGAAUCCUCUAUAUUACAUCCCAUAAAGGAGUUUUCUAGUUCUUGUAAUAAGACCAAAGAGUAGGGUGUACAUGAGUAGGUGAAGGUGGAGCUUGGCAUUCCUUUUGAGCCAAGCUCAUUACCUGUGGAAAAAAAUACAGUUGAAACUCCAGAAGCUGAAGCUUCAGAAAUUGAGGCAGAAGUUAUAACUUCCAGAGUUGAACCAAAUAUGCAUUAUAUAGCCACACACAGACUUAAGAGACAAAUUCAAAAACCAGAAGUUUUUGGUGCUGAUUCAGCUAAGCGAUCGAUUGAAUGGAAUGAAGAAAUUGAAUCUCUCCAUAAGAAUGGUACUUGGUCCCUUGUGAAGCCACCAUCAAGAAAUAGAAUUGUUGGUUGCAGAUGGGUCUUCAAGAAAAAGUAUAAAAUAUCAAGGGUUUAAGAUACAAGUUAUAAGGCAUGAUUAGUUUCAAAGGGCUAUAGCAAGGAGUGGAUUUUAAUGAUAUUUUCUCACCGGUUGUUAAACGUAGCUCUAUUCAUGUCUUGUUUGCAUAAGUUUAGAUGUAUGAUUUGGAAUUAGAACAACUUGGAUGUUAAGACAACUUUCUUACAUAGAGAACUUAAAGAACAAAUAUAAAUGCAUCAACCAAAAGAAUUUGAAGUUAAAGGAAAAGAAGAUCAUGCUUGCUUGUUGAAGAAAUCCCUGUAAAAAAACUAAAACAGUCUCCAAGAAAAUAGAACAAAAGGUUUUGAUUCUUUUAUGUUUGGCCAUGGUUUUUUGAGGAGUCUAUAUGAUAGUUCUGUUUACAUUCGAAAACUAAAUGAUAGAUUAUUUGCUUGCUUACUGUUAUAUAUUGAUGACAUACUUCUAAGGAUUUGAUAGAAAUACAAAAUUUGAAUGAUCAAUUGAAAAGUGAAUUUGAAAUGAAAAGAGAUGGAGGAGAAAACAUAAUAUUCCUGAACCAAAAGAAGUACUUGAAGAAGGUCUUGAACAGUUCUGGCAUAAAAGAUGCUAAACCAGUGAGUACUUCUCUUGCUACUCAAUUUAAUUAUAAUCUACUCAAUCACCACAGUCACAGUAACAACAGAGUUAUAUGGCACAUGUACCAUAUUCUAGUAUAGUCGGCAACAUUAUGUACGCUAUGGUGUAUGCAUAACCUGGCAUUUCAAAAGAAGUUAGUAUUAUAAGUCGUUAUAUAUCUUACCCAAAUAAAGUUCACUGGAAGACUGUGAAAUGAAUUCCAAAAUACUUGUGAGGUACUUCAAAUGCAUGUUUGGAGUUUGGGAAAAAUAUAACACUUUGGUUGGUUUUAAAGACUGUUAAUGCAAGUGACCUUACCUAUUUUCUGUUGGUGGUUGUGAUAUAAUCUAGAAAGCUAUAUUACGAUAUGUAGUAGCUUUAUCUACUACUGAAGCAAAAUAUAUAGCAGUGACCGAGGUGAUCUCUAUUUGAUGAACUUAGUUUACAUCAAGAUGGUAUUACCAUUCUAUGAUAGUCAAAUUGUCAUUAACUUGACUAAAGAUCAGAUGUAUUAUGAGAGGACAAAGCACAUUGAUAUCAAGUAUCCUUUCAUCUGAGAAAUCAUUGUUGAAAGAGAAGUUUUUAUUCAGAAGAUCAAUACUAAAGACAAUCCUGUUUACGUCGCCUCUUUCAGUUGGCAAGUUCAAGCAGUGCUUGUACUUGAUCCAUUAAUGAAGAAUUAUUUAUCCCAUAGGGGCUUUUGCAGAGAGGAUGGAGCAUAUUAUUAUGCUACCCAAAAUUAGGCCAAGGUAGAGAUUUGUAAUGUGGCCAUAUUUUGGCCAAUGUUUUAUUGAAAAUCUCUUGAUAUUUUUGUUAAAUCUCAUGAUAUUUUGUUGAAAAUCUCUACCAAGAUAUUUUUUUCUUGGAGCCAAAGUUUGGAUAUGUGGAUGAGAUUAUUUGAGAUUUUUCUUUUUCUUUUUUAUUCUACUUGGAGCCCAAGAACCUUCUCCUAUAGAUAGAGGAGGGUUCUUUCAUUCUCAAUACACCUUGAAGCACCUGAAAAAAAAUCUUCAUUGCUUUGCUCCUAUUGUCUUUUUUAGAGUAAUUUGUAAGAGUGUGGGUAUUGGAAAACACUUGUGUAACCCCUUUCUUGGAAUGAUCUUGUGAGUUUACUCUUUUGGAAUAUUUUUGGGUUGAUUAGAGUAUUUACUCUAAUUUUGUACUCGGUAUUGUACUCUUCUGGUUGGUAUAGUAAAAUUGCACCUCUCCAGCUCACACUGAUCAAACCCGUUAAAUGUGUGCCUUAUUUAUUUUCUUUAAUUGUUGUUAUUAUUAUCUAGUUAUUGUCUUUGUUAUUCUCAUUAUACUUGUGUUUGUCUGAAUUUUGCAAUAACCUGGUUGUCUAUCCUAAAAUUUACCACAACAUUCUUGAGGCAGAGUAUAGGUAAGGCAGAAGAAACCAUGGGGCGGUACGUGGCUACAAUUAAUUGACGGAAGUAGUUGGAAGUAAUUGAGAAGUGAAAACCAGAGAAUUGAUAACCAUGUAAAAAUUUGGAAAGUACAUUUCACUUUUAUCCAUAGUUGAACCAACAUACUUUUAUUUCGAAUUGGCAAUAGCCAUGAGGACAAAUGAGGGCAAGACCCUAUUAUUUUGAGGUAUUGGCAUACCAAUCCCUGUUAUUUAAGCCUAAAACAAGAGGAUGAGUUUAUCUAUGUACUACAUAUGGUGGAUUGAAUUGUGACUCGACCGGUUUUAGUUGUCGUACUCGCAAUGAUGCAGCUACCAUUCUAUCCAGCUGUAGCAGUUCCUAGACCAUUUUUGGGAGGUAAUCCACUGUUAAGAAGGUCAUUUGGCAUCUGUGGACAUGGCUUAGUGCUGCGAGUUUAUCCGCCACUUUGUUUGGGUCUGUUUUCAUUUUUUCGAAAAUUUUAGAAAUUCCAAAAACAGAAAAAAGGUGUUUCCGAUUUUUCCA